ensembl:lncRNA
AUGCUGGGUCCAGCCCACCCGCCUCCCGCCCCGUGUCCCCCACCUGCUCUGGGCAGCAGAAGUGGCCAGAUGGGGAGACAGGAGCCUGCUGCUGUGCGCAGCUUCAUGGGCUGCGGACACCCCAAGGGGCUGGGGUCACACAGCUGGGAGGACGGGGGGUUCCAGACUCAGCUGCCCGCCCACCCUCAGGCCCCAGCGCACCCUCUGCUCUCCACCCGCAGCCCCAGCUCAAGAAGUCUUCAUCCCCCUCGCCCCUCGUGCCCCCUGCCUGCCCACAUUUUAGUGAGGGGAGGAGCUGAAGCUGCUCCGAUAGCCCUGAGCCUGGCUGGCUCCAGUGCCAGCAGGUGCCACCAGGGGACAGGGAGGAAGAGGACAGGCCGCUCCCUGUCCAGCGCACCAGCAGCACCAGACAUGGGCUCAGAGGGGAGGGAGACGCCCCUGGGGGCUUGGAGGGCACCGUCCAGGCCUUGCUGGGGCCCCUCCAAGGCCGCUGGGGCCGGUGCUGCCGCAGGAAGGGACAGGAUGUGCAUGGGGGCACACGUGCCAGAGGGAGCACAGCGGUCUGGGGGCUCGGUGCCACCUACCUGUGCUUGGCAGGAUGGGGCCACCCCGGCUCAGCCCUCGGGCCUGUCCUCCCACCUGGCCCUGGGCAGAAGGUGGGGAUUUGGGGCCACAGAUGCAUCCCUGUCCACCCUGCACACAGGGAGGACACCCAUCGGGGACCCUGCGUUUGCCUCCCACUCUGGGCAGCCGUGUCCCCCCGCAGAGCCCAGCCUCGUCGCCCAGGACGUCCCCACCACUGUGGCCCCACUCUGCCACGUGAGGCUCUCAGACACCACUUGGAGACUCUCCUGGCCCCAUCCACCAGGGGACAGCAGCACCGCGUGCCCAGGAUGGCGGGGCUGCGGAACAGGUCACACGUGUGUGUCCUGAGGCCUGGCGCAUCGGGGACUGAGCAUCUCGUCCUCGGAGGGGUCCAGGCAGCCACUGGUGAGGACGCGGUGGACACCUGGAGCAGGACAGGCCAUCCAUCCGCGAUGCUCCCAGCACUCGAGCUCCCCAUCCCCAGCACGGCCGGCGGAGGAAGAAGGGCCCACUCUGGUCUCGGGUCUCGGGUCUCAGGUCCCCGUCUCCGUCAGGGGGGCCUCACCGGGCAGCCGCCCUCCCUGCCAGGUGUCUCCCCGCCCAGGCCCCCAGGACUUGGGUCCUUGCACCCGCCCUGCGCACACGUGUUCCCCGUUCCCGUGAAGCUCGUGCCUGCAGCUGGUGGGAGGAGCCCAGCCCCCGGGGUAGCACACCGGCCCUGUUGUGCUUAGAGACCUGUGCGGGCGCUGCAGAAGGGAGCGGCCCGGGGCCCGCGGGCUGUCCGCACUCUGGGCCCGGCCUGGUCCGUGCUGGGCCUCGGGGCGGCGGGCUGAGUCCCCGACUCCACCACGGCCUCUGCGGGGCACACGGGGCCCGGGACCCAGGGCUCCCAUCCUCGGGCCCCAGCGUGUUGGCGGCGGUGGAGGAGGGUGCUCGUCAUCGAGCCGGUGGCCUCCACCGGCCUUUGCCCACUGGCCCCUGCCCCCGCUCCUCUGGCCCCUACCGGCAUCUGUUGGACGCUCGCUCUGGGGGUGCUUCUGGGUCCCCAAGUACAGAUGAGGAAACAGUCACUGCCGUGUUGCACGGCAGGGACCAGAACACUAGAAGACUCCAGAACCUUUUCCAGGGCUGCAGCUGCUCAAGCUGAGGGCGAAGGGAGCCGAGGGCCAGACCCCAAGAUGCUCCGCAUCCUCUGUCCCUCUGAAGCUGCGUGAGGCUGUUUUUCCGCUCGGGUCAAAGGGAUGGGACGGGUGACUCAGGUCCUUGCUCCAUCUGCCCCGCCCCUGCCCAGUAACCUGUGACCUCCACCCCCUGCACCAGGGUGUCACGGGGCAGACAAGGAGAAAGACAAGAAGGAAACCUUUGCCAUGGGACACGCCAUCAAGGACCAGAGCCCCAUCACCAUGAGGAAGCCCGGCCCAUCCCGAUGGAUGAGGCCCAACCAGGACCCAGGACAUCCCGGCUCCCUCACCCCCUGCCCCUCAGAGUCACACGCUCCCUGCCCCCUCCCGGAAUGCCCGCGGCCCCACCUCCUGCGAAUACACCACUCCUCCAGGCAUCUGCCCUGUUUGCUUCUCACAGUCCCUGGGCUGGCUCCUCCUCUGGCUUCAGGGGCCUGGCGCGACGGCAAGUCCUGGCAGUGACAAGGCUUUGAUGCAAAUAAAAGGAACUCGGAGCAGCUAAGGAAAGAGGGC